CAAAUUAUCUUCGUGUUUACCACGCCGUGGAGCAACCAUCACAUCGAGGUAAACCCGGACGGUGGGUUCUACGACCGGAACGUCAUCACUGAGCAGAUUGCACAAACGCAGCAAACUGACCCCAGCGGCCAGCGGGAGAUUAAGACGAUCGUGCUGUCGGAAGUGAAAAAGCUAACGAAGGACGCCCAAUCCCAAAGAAAAAGUACAUGGCCACCUGUGAGCUGGUGAGGAGAUUGUCAACAUUUUGAUCAAAAUUUGCUAAGAAAGUGCGCCGGAACAUUUUGUUGCUGGAGGCGUGCAAGGUGCUGCAGUAUCCGUUCACCGUGCAAUAAAACGUGCUGGAGAUCGACUGACAGGUGUUCCUGGGCGAGACCGCUGGAAGCGAGCCGGGAGCUGCUGUCGCAGGGUGUCCCAUCGAAUGUGACCUUACGCGGGUUGGUGGAGAAUCUGCUCAAGAACUGCGACAUGCGCCUGAAGACGCAAACGCUCUACUUUGCCAGUCUGUACGAGCACCGGAUGCAGCAGGGCAGUAAGCACAUCUUCCAUCGAGAGACGUCCGUGGCACAGGUUAUGACGCAAGAAGUUUUUGAGCCAUGCGUUCGUGAUGGACACAGAUGAUUUUUUGAAUUGUUUUGGAUUAUAUUUUUUUCUUUUUUGUCGAAUAAAUAUGUGUUGUUAUUUAGAA